UACGUAUGGUGCAAGCGUUAUCCGGAUUUACUGGGUGUAAAGGGAGCGCAGGCGGCACGGCAAGCCUGAUGUGAAAGCCCGCGGCCCAACCGCGGGACUGCAUUGGGAACUACCGGGCUGGAGUGCCGGAGAGGUAGGCGGAAUUCCUAGUGUAGCGGUGAAAUGCAUAGAUAUCACGCAGAACUCCGAUUGCGAAGGCAGCAUACCGGCGCCCUACUGACGCUGAGGCACGAAAGCGUGGGUAUCGAACAGG
rnacentral:rRNA from 1 species